AACUUCAGCAUGAAUAGUCCAAACAUUAUCAAAGCUUCUAAAAAAUAUGGGUCAGCUGGAAGGUUUAAUUAUUUGUCGUGUAUUACUUUGCUGAUGUUUGGUUCCAUGGUUCGUUUGCAUUUCUUCUGAUUUUUGUAAUGUUAUCUUCCAUAUGUUUUGAUGCAGUUCAUCAUGUUGGACGAAAGGUGAUGUUGAAGUUGUUAUGUGAUCGCUCGCCCGAGUCAAGACGUCAUAUGAUGUGCCAAACUUGGAUGUUGAUUGUAGCGGUGAAGAUCCUGAUCCAGAUGAUGGUGGGAGCGAAUUCGAGUUUGAUUUAAAGGAAGAUUACAAGUGGAAAAAGGUGGUCAGUUUUUGAACUCGUUCUAGCAAAAAUAUUUUGGUAAGAAAUGUCUUUGAGUUUAUCAAUAGUUUCAAACAUAUUAUAUUUCACAUAUAUAAACUUAUUUUCAUAUUAUUUGACGCAUCAUUUCCCAAGGUUUAUGUCUAAGAAAAUGUUGUACGUGAACCAAACUAUGAUAGAACAGUUGGAUGAAGAUAUGUACUAUGAAGAAAUUCACGUAACCAACUGAAAUAAAAUGGAAAAGUAUCUUGGAAAGGAAUGGUAUGACUAUGAGUAUGCUCAGAAGAAGAAACUGGGAGCUGGGAAAUUCUUCGAUUUACCAUUCGCUAUCCUCUAGAAAAGUUAGAUGUGUCUCUGUUCAACCACUGAUGGUAGCUCAAAAAAAAAUAUUUUGAAAUUUUCAGUAGAAGUUGUUUUUAUAGGUUGGAGUUUUGGGUUGUUGUUUAGAAUAAAUAUUUUGUUUAAUUAGAAAUUACUAUCCUUUAAGUUUGAGUUACUUAUUUUGUACUAAGGAUCUUGUUGUAUUUGUAUGUUGUUGAAGGAAUUUAUAAUGUAAUUUAUGUUACGUGUGAUUUAUGUUAAUAGGUUAAUAAAAUUGAGGAAAACGUUUUGUUUAAAA
rnacentral:lncRNA from 1 species